GUUUUUUCAAAAAGUUAAUCUCAUAUAUAAAAUUAAACAAUAAAGUAGCAGUUUUGAAUCCCACCAAGAUAUCCUACCACCUCCUUUUCCCCCACUAUAUAUAACUCGUUGUUUUCACUGCUCUAUUUUCAGACAGAUGUGAAUCCUCUCACACUGAAACCCCUUGUAGUUAAGUUCUCUCCUCCAAAACCCACUAAGAAAAAAUUUCUUAGACUUUAACAAAAUGGAUACAAUAUGCAAGGCUAAAAAGCUUCAAGCCAUUGACAGUCACAAGACUCAGUUUCUGCACAAUAUCGUCUUUCAUUUACUUGUUGCAUUGACGUGUAGUUUAAUUUCUUUUUACCCUUAUUGGUUUCCCUCCCUUUGUUCAUCCUUGAAGCAAUUUCUGUUUCAAUCCCUCUCAUCAGCUACCUCCUCCUCCAUUUUUAGCCCCAUGUGCUGGUUUGUAGUUGUUAAUGUUAUUGUUGUCUUUCUUGUUGGAGAAUCAAUGUUCGUUGGUUCACACUCUUCUCCAGCAGGUAAAAUUUAUGAUGAGUAUGUUGAGAGGAGUAGAAGCCUAAGGGGAGUCCCAUGCCCAUCAUCAACUCUUCAAGAAAAGGCAGAGCAGAGCAAAGCGGAGCUGAACUUGACUCAUGAAGAUAAGAGGCUUACUGCUAUUGUUCAAGAUGAACCAGUGAACGAGGAAAUCAAACAAGUGAAUGAAUCAAUUAGCAGAGGAUGGGAAGAAGAUAAAGAAGUCGAAGCUGAAGCCAAAACUGAAAUAGAAGGGGAUAAGGAAGAGAAGGAAGAUGAUGAAGAAGAAGAGAGUGGAUUGCCUACUGAGGAACUAAAUAAAAGGGUUGAAGAGUUCAUUGCAAGUGUUAAUAAACAAAGGUGGCUUGAAGAAGCCAGCUUAUUAGUGUCUUGUUCUGCUUGAUUGAAUGACAAUGUAUUAUUUCUUAAUUAUUGCUAGUUAUUAAUUUUCGCAUAAUAAAUCUUGCAAGUUUUCCACUUUUUUGUGCUUUGGAAGAAAUGUAUUUUUUUGGUUUCUCUAUUCAUUAUAACAUAUUUGUAAUUUCUUUGCGUGCAAGCAACAC
rnacentral:misc_RNA from 1 species